rnacentral:lncRNA from 1 species
CCCGCAUAUGAUAAACAAUACGACACAAACAAUAAAUUGAGUAUAAAAUACUUAAUAUGAUUUUCUUUUAUCAACAAACAAAUAAACCGUCAAUUUAGUCCAUGAGCUAUUGUUCCUUCUUCAAUAUGGUCCCUUAACUAUAUAAACAUAACAUGUAAUCCGUAAACUAUAUUAAAUCUAUGUUCAUCGAAUUUGAAUUUUAAUGGCGGAAAGGCUUUUCCAAUUCAAAUAUAUGGAUGUAUUUUUGUUUUGAUAAACUUAAAAAUGUAUAUUUACGAAAAAAUAAAGAAGGAAGAAAUGAUUAUUAAUUAAA